CCUGUAUAUAGGCUGGGCAGAGUUGAUUGAACCGAUGUUAAUGAUUGGGUAUGACUUUAGAUUUUAGGAUGAAUAUAGAUGGUCAGUAAUAGGUAUUGAUUGUGCAGUUAUAGUUUACUGGACUGUUCUCCUUAUAUCUGGUUGAAGCACAUGAGCAAUCAGAGCAGGGAUGUAACUAUACCUGCCCCAGUACCCGUGCGUUAGAGAUGACGACGAUACCUCUAACGCACAGAUACUAGUGUACCUGCGAUCUUAUUCAAAAACUCUCAUGAUCUUAUAGGACGAUAGUUCCAGCUCAACUGCGACAUUAUGAGGUCAAAAGUGAUGACCUCACCCUCAUAUAUAUUAGACUCACAGCCUCUUGAGGACCCUAUCAAUAAUGCUGAUGACAUGCAGGAUGAAGUCAGAUAUGAAAAAGAUCAGCCUGAUACUGGGAGCCUGGCCCAGUUCUUUGCUGAUCAAGAAAUAGCCAGCCCAACUCAGUCAAUAGCGGCUGAACCGGAGGCAGAGAUGCAGGAGGCUGAUCUGAAGUCAGCUGAACCAACCCAGUCACUCGAGGCUGAAAUAGAGAGUGGGAUGCAGGCUGAUCUAGAGACACCCGGCCCAUCCCAUGUACAGGAGCCACACCAGACUUCUCUACUCAACUCUGGAGACCUGAAACUGGAGGAUACUGAUGUGACCUUCACCACCAUGCCCACGGCCCCCCAGGCUGCAACGUCCCAGAACAGCCUUGUCAGGCUGCAAAGAAGCUCCCCAGACCUCUCCACCUUUGUGCAGGACAUGACUGACAACCACUGGAAUCUGUUGAGUGAGAAUAUGCGUGCCAAGUUAACUAGAGAUGAGUUUACUGCCAAGUGCAUGGACAUUGUCACAUGGGUGAAGAAGAUCAAAUCGACAGUUGUGGUUCCCGCCCUUGACCUCACCAUGCAGAUAGAGCUGACUGAGUUGCCAGGCUCUCCUGGAUCAGGAAGUGAGGAGGCAGUAACUUCUCUCUCCCGCACUGUGAGAUUAAGUUGUACUCAAGGCCCCAGCAGGAACACCAGUUCUAAAACUUCCUGGAGCACACCGACACCCACACCUUUCCCCUCCAGUCACAGGUCCAUGACCUCUUUGCUGAGUGAAGAGGAUGAUAAAGACUUGAUCCCUGGAGAGGUCACAUAUCGCUCAACACCUGAGGGGGGCAAUAGAGAGAUGAGGGACAGACCCUGCUCAGAGCCACUCAGGUCUGUGUUUGGCCUGUCUCAGAGCUGUAUUUUCAAUCAAAUGGUCCACAGUGGAGCAUGCAGGUCGCUAAGUGAGAUUGUACUGCCAUCCAGCCGGAGUAGGCAGAGGAAGCUCAUGCCCAUCAUCGUCUCCACAGACACCAGAUUGGUAAUGGAAAUUGUGGAGAUGGUGAUGAAAGUCAUCAACUCCAGGCUAGCUCAGCUAAUGCUAAAUGUGGGUUGUAGUCAGGGAACUGAAGGUCAUGGCAGCAACUCAGCAAGCAUUCAGUUUGCUCAAGAAAUGCUGAGCAUGGCAACUGCAUCAAUGUAUGCCCACGCAAUGGAGCAUAUUGCGCACGGCUGCAAGUCCAGCAGUCGCCAGUCCAACAAGUCUCCACUUGAAUUAGCGGGGGAGAUGGAAGCCAUAUUGGGUCCUCUGGCUGGACAGGUAAUAGUCACCGUCAUCAAUAGUAUCCUCAGGACUAAAGACAACGGAAGAACUGAGCAGGAACGGACCACCCCUUUGAGUUACUUCCUUACUGCAGUUUCUGCUGAAAUUCAAAGCAUGGUAGUUCAAAGAUCUGCAAGUAGACAGUCCUCCAGGCAGUCCAUCAGUGACCACUUGAUGAAUAUCUCCAAGGGCAAGAUCGUGAAAGCCGUUCAAAUUAAAAUGUCACAACUCUAUGGCGAGUCUACCAAUGAAAGCUGCAUAUCAGCAACUCCAACAAUCCAGAGCCUGUCCAAGUGCUCAUCCAAAGAAUCCCUUUGUGAUUGGACUCUCACCUCAGAUGACGUGCAUCCAGCUAAGUUCCUGUCUAGCAACAGAAUUACAGCGUUGUCGACUGAUGUUGUGGAUGUUGUGUUUGGUGAUGUUUUUUAUAAUCUUGGACUUUCGGACAGCCAAACACAUUUAAGGCCACAGUGCACCGGCUCCAGCUCAUCAAUAGACAUCAGCGGUGUUGCUGGGGAGAUGGUCAGACAAGUCUCUGUAAAACUCCAGUCCUUUGCGUCCGAGAGCAGUCUGGAGGCCAUGUCCAUGACUCACGACUCACCAUCUUUGUCCAUCUCAGACUCUGACUUGAAGUUCUUGUGCUCUCACUCAGCGGUUGCUGUAGCAACUGCCUGCCAAGCAAUUAAAACUGAGCUUGAGAUUGAGAUGAGUCUCAACCCAGCCACAGAGGCCGGCUCCCAGGGUAACCUUGCUGCCAGAGACCUGGUAUCUUCUCUGUCACAGAGUCUUGAGGAUAUAGAUGUUUCUCAUAUCAUUCAGGGCCUUAAGGAGGCAGAUGUGACAUUUGCCAAUCUGAACAAAACCCCUUCGACCGACACUAAUAGAUUAGAGGAAAUCUUAUCUGCCCAUAUUUCCCCUGAAAGUAUUGCAGCGGCAUCGGUUGAUCUUUUUGAUGGCGUAUUAGGAGACUUGCAUGAGGCAUUUGAGGCAAAUAAGGUCUCAGCAGCCACAAAAUCUGGUCGCAAAAAGUUCUGGGUUGAAGUACAUACAAGUUCACAAAACCUGUACACCAAUGCGCUGGACAAACUAAAUAAGUGGUUCAGUUUACACCAUCUCACUAAUGAAAAAGAUGUUCCUCUGAAUACCAAGCUCUCUGCAACUGGACCACUCCUAACUGAGGCCUGUGUGGAGGUAUCUCCUGUGCAAAAGACCAGUAUUAACAGCUCUGGUAUGUCCUUCAGGUCUCUGAGUGAUAUCUCAGACAACCAGCUAACCCUCAACACAUGCACUAAAGAGGUAAUCAAACAGGUGGCCUCAGUUCUGAAGUUUGAGGCUUCUAAGGAAGACUGUUCUUCUUCCGUUGGAGGGAGGACAUUAAAUGUGUUCUUGGAGUUCAGCCAGAAGUUGGAUGCUCUCAUCUCAAAGUUGGAGGACCUCCCCAUUUCAGGUGAGAUUUCCUCGCUCACACAGCCACAAAGUGCAGUCAGCAGCAGCAGAACCUCUAAUAUUUCCAUCAGGAGUAUCCUAAGUGUGGAGUUCUACACAAAGGCCAACCAGAUCGUGAGUGAGGCUAUCCUUGGAGCUGCAAUUGUUUUCUAUGCUCGCAAAGCCAACCAUUUGGAGCUGAAUAUGCCUGCUACCUAUUCACAACAUCUGUUUGCAGCCACCUCAGACAUUGUGAACAUUAUUGUGGAAGACCUAGAGAGAGAGACCAUGGAUACAGAGUCCCACCUCAUACCUAAAAUAGUUUUUGACAAGUUCCUGGAUGCGGCUCACAACAUCUACUACCAAGUGCGGGAUAGGCUGAAGGUCUUCUUCUCCAUGUCCUCAGUGCCUGCCUCCAAAACCAAAGAUGUGGUGGAUUCCAUGCCUGUGGAGAAACAUGGAUACUUUGAGGCCUCUGACACUGCUCAUGACCCGGAGCGACCUCAAUCUGUCAGGAGUGAGAAGUUGUUGACAAAAGACAGUUUAGCCAAGAUAGAAAGGUCUAAAUCCCUUGCGUCUCGGGGUGGCACAUCAACAGAAAAUCAAGACUUUGACACCUUCACAUUGACACCCACCAAGAGCAUGUCAGUGUUGAGUGAUCACAGUUUGAGAGGAGAUUUUUCUCUCUUGAGUGAAAGUUGCCAACCACUUUUGGCUCUCCAAGACUCAACAGUGGCAGUCACUAAGCAUAGCUUCACCAAGUCUGCUAAGACCACCCUCAGCCAGAUCCUAAAUGUGAUCAAGUGCAGAGUGGCUGCCUCAGAUAAUUCAUCUGUUGGACAGAAGACAACUGACAUGUUGGACUCUCUUCUUGAGAGCCUUGACCAGUUGACUGCAGAUGAGAUAAAGGGGACAGCGUCCCACAGCUUGAUCACAGUAGAUGUGCCAGAGUCACUAUCUAAGCAAUCCUUGACAAAAUACUUUUCUACUCAUGAGAGGAACCAGGAUUCUUCCCCUGCAAAGCUUGUGUGUCAACCAUCAUGCCUGAUACCAACAUCCAUGUCUGACACCAACAUUAUAGUGCAAACUAUAAUGGAAACGCUGGUGAAGGACGAAUCAAAGAAGACUUCAGCAGAGGAAAACCUUGAGAGGCUCGUCUCCAUUGAAACCAUUCAAGGUGUGUCAGACGACCUCAUCACAAAGGUCCAUGGUCUCAUUCAGGAGAUCACAAUAAGCCGGCAACUUCAAUCCAUGGCUGGCCACAGGAGCUUCUCUGAACCGGCAUUGCCAAAGCCAGCCCUAAAAAAGCUGUCAAGGAAUGAUGCCUCUGAGCUCGCCUACAGCUUUGCCGAAAAUUCUGUUAGGACUCUCCUGGGGCAGUGCUUAGAUGUGUCGUCCUUUUCCACUGGAGUAAGGCAGACGAUGGAUCAGGUCACUAAGAUAAUGACUAACACAGUGAUGGACACCCUGACUGAUGAGUCCAAGCCCACAGUGAAGUCAGAGGAUGGUAAGUUAAAUUGCCAUUUUAACUCUGUAGAGGAAUCUUUUGUAACGUGCUCAAUAGAUUGUUUCUUAUGAUGGAAAAGUUUACUGACUUCAACUGUGCCAAAUGUAUCAUCUCUACUUCUCCCAGAAUUAGUUUCCAGGUUAGUCCAACCAGAUGAAUUCCCCACGAGGAGCCUUAACCCAUCUGAUGGCAACGCUGAUGUGAUGCCUCGCUCUGCUGGAGGUGAAAAGAAUAGCAAGAAGUGGCGUUUCCUUUUCAAAAUGCCUAGCAUCCCGAAGAUCAGGAUCAAGGUAGGGAGCUUUGUGUUUGGGAAUUGCCUCUAAGUUAGGGCUGGGAUUUAAUUAUCCCACAGCCAGUGGGCUUAUGAGAUAUUGUGAGGGCUCUAAUGUCAGGAUAUAUUUUGUCAACAGGUGUUCAAGAGAAAAGGACAAUCCAAGAAGCACCCUGAACUGGAAGCGCUGCCAACAAAACGUUUCAGUGAUAUGUCACUGAGUGAGUAAUAAGCAUUGAUUAUGUAAUUGUAAUUAAUCACCAUGUGACCAGUUUGUUAUGACCUUGGCAUGAGUGAACAAAGAUACAGUAUCAGUCAAAAGUUUGGACACACCUACUCAGUCAAGGGUUUUUCUUUAUUUUUACUAUUUUCUACAUAGUGGAAUAACACAUAUAGAUUCAUGUAGUAACCAAAAAAGUGUUAAACAAAUCAGAAUAUAUGUGUAUUUGAGAAUCUUCAAAGUAGCCACCCUUUGCCUUGAUGACAGCUUUGCACACUUUUGGUUCCAGAGGUUCCUUCCGCCUUCCCACCCAUGGAGGACCUGAUACCUGCACCUACUGCACAGAAUCCCCAAUCCCGUAAACGCCCCUUUGUGGUUAGGGUGUUUCGGGCCCUCUCUCGAGCCAUCACCAGUGCCUUCAGAGGAGCUUCAGGGAAGAAGCACUAGAUAAGACUCAGGGCUCCAGCAGGAGGGCUUAUGGAUAUCUGAUAUGCCAUUUGACUGGAGGCAUGCUGCAGUAUGCGGCACAGGGAGAAGAAAACAUGCAGAAACGUACUCAUGUGGCAAGGUCUAGUAAAGAUUGGAAGGAAAACCUGCAUUUCUGUCAUUCCUCUGUAUCCACAGCUGCUCCCUGCAAGUUUCAAGUUUUAAUGGCACAUGCACAUUACAGUGUAAUGCCCUUCUUGCAAGCUCCAAACCCAACAAUGCAGUGAUCAAUAUCAAUGUAGCACUAAAAAUAACACAAGGUAGAACAAAAACACAAUAAAUAAAAAUAAGAAGAACAUGUGAAAGAAGCUACAGUGCCUUCAGAAAGUAUUCACACCCCUUGACUUUUUCCACAUUUUGUUGUGUUACAGCCUGAACCCCAUAAUGUCAAAGUG
rnacentral:lncRNA from 1 species